GAUGAACGCUGGCGGCGUGCCUAAUACAUGCAAGUCGAGCGAAUGGAUUAAGAGCUUGCUCUUAUGAAGUUAGCGGCGGACGGGUGAGUAACACGUGGGUAACCCGCCCAUAAGACUGGGAUAGCUCCGGGAAACCGGGGCUAAUACCGGAUAACAUUUUGAACCGCAUGGUUCGAAAUUGAAAGGCGGCUUCGGCUGUCACUUAUGGAUGGACCCGCGGCGCAUUAGCUAGUUGGUGAGGUAAAGGCUCACCAAGGCAACGAUGCGUAGCCGACCUGAGAGGGUGAUCGGCCACACUGGGACUGAGACACGGCCCAGACUCCUACGGGAGGCAGCAGUAGGGAAUCUUCCGCAAUGGACGAAAGUCUGACGGAGCAACGCCGCGUGAGUGAUGAAGGCUUUCGGGUCGUAAAACUCUGUUGUUAGGGAAGAACAAGUGCUAGUUGAAUAAGCUGACACCUUGACGGUACCUAACCAGAAAGCCACGGCUAACUACGUGCCAGCAGCCGCCGCGG
rnacentral:rRNA from 1 species